UAGGGAAUCUUCCGCAAUGGACGAAAGUCUGACGGAGCGACGCCGCGUGAGCGAAGAAGGCCUUCGGGUCGUAAAGCUCUGUUGUGAGGGACGAAGGAGCGCCGUUUGAAUAAGGCGGCGCGGUGACGGUACCUCACGAGAAAGCCCCGGCUAACUACGUGCCAGCAGCCGCGGUAAUACGUAGGGGGCGAGCGUUGUCCGGAAUUACUGGGCGUAAAGCGCACGUAGGCGGAUUGGUCAGUUAGGGGUGAAAUUCCCAGGGCUCAACCCUGGAACUGCCUUUAAUACUGCCAGUCUUGAGUUCGAGAGAGGUGAGUGGAAUUCCGAGUGUAGAGGUGAAAUUCGUAGAUAUUCGGAGGAACACCAGUGGCGAAGGCGGCUCACUGGCUCGAUACUGACGCUGAGGUGCGAAAGCGUGGGGGAGCAAACAGGAUUAGAUACCC
rnacentral:rRNA from 1 species